rnacentral:rRNA from 1 species
CCUACGGGGGGCUGCAGUGAGGAAUAUUGGUCAAUGGACGAGAGUCUGAACCAGCCAAGUAGCGUGAAGGAUGACUGCCCUAUGGGUUGUAAACUUCUUUUAUAUGGGAAUAAAAUGUUCCACGUGUGGGAUUUUGUAUGUACCAUAUGAAUAAGGAUCGGCUAACUCCGUGCCAGCAGCCGCGGUAAUACGGAGGAUCCGAUCGUUAUCCGGAUUUAUUGGGGUUAAAGGGUGCGCAGGCGGCCUGUUAAGUCAGUUGUGAAAUGUUGCGGUUCAACCGUAAAAUUGCAGUUGAAACUGGCAGUCUUGAGUACAGUAGAGGUGGGCGGAAUUCGUGGUGUAGCGGUGAAAUGCUUAGAUAUCACGAAGAACUCCGAUUGCGAAGGCAGUUCACUGGACUGCAACUGACACUGAGGCUCGAAAGUGUGGGUAUCAAACAGGAUUAGAUACCCCAGUAGUC